rnacentral:rRNA from 1 species
ACGGAAGGCAGCAGUGAGGAAUAUUGGUCAAUGGGCGGAAGCCUGAACCAGCCAUCUCGCGUGCAGGACUACGGCCCUACGGGUCUUAAACUGCUUUUAUGGGGGGAUAAAGUCGGGCAUUCGUGCCCGUUUGCAGGUACCCCAUGAAUAAGGAUCGGCUAACUCCGUGCCAGCAGCCGCGGUAAUACGGAGGAUCCGAGCGUUAUCCGGAUUUAUUGGGUUUAAAGGGUGCGCAGGCGGCCCGUUAAGUCAGCGGUGGAAUGUCGGGGCUCAACCCGGGCACUGCCGUUGAAACUGGGGGGCUUGAGUACGGAUGAGGUCGGCGGAAUGUGACGUGUAGCGGUGAAAUGCAUAGAUAUGUCACAGAACACCGAUUGCGAAGGCAGCUGGCCAAUCCGCAACUGACGCUCAUGCACGAAAGCGUGGGGAUCGAACAGGAUUAGAUACCCUGGUA